CGCUUAAAACCACACUGUGCUCUCCUCCAAUAGGACCAACACAAACAUAAAUAAUGUUCUCUUCUCCCUCCACCAAACUCAGUCAAUCAUUUGGGAUAUAAAUUAGUAAUCUCCUAACUGAGAAGAAUUGUGCUGGCUCACUCUCCUUUCUUUCCUUUCAUCAAGGGCUCCAAUUGGAUCUGCUUUUUGCCUAACAAGUACUCCAGUCUUCUUUUUCUCUUCCAAGGUAACAAGGAUAUCAAGAAAUUAUAUGAAUGCCAACCCCCACAUUAGCAAGAUUUGUGUCAUUGACUGUUCUAGUGGCGCUAAGCUAGUGACAGAAUCAACAGCUUCGUCAACUUCAGAAAGAACCAGCUUUGGUUUCAAGAACUUGACUGAGACUUUUUGGGUUAAUGUACAGAGAGCAGAAGGAAGGCCACUAAAUGUGCAGCUAAAUUCACCAUUAAGUACAGUGUCACCGAGUCUUGAAAAGGUGGAGAAUGUAGCUAUUAGAAUUGAGCUCUGUAAUGGAUGUGUUGGGUGGGGAGAAGUUCCUGUGCUUCCUUCCAUUACUGCUGCAAAUCAGACAGUUGCUGUUACAAAGGCUUGAGAGGCAUGGCAAUUUCUGCGUUCCAGCUCGCCUAUGGUUUUGAAUUUGAUGCUCAAUGAGAUUGGUAGGAUUCUUCCAGGAACUGGAUUUGCUUCUGUGAGUAAAUGUGAUAAGAUCAUUAAACUAAUUUUUUUCCUUUUUUUUUUAACAACACAUUAAUUUUAUUCAUUCGUCGUUCAGAAAUGGUCUUUUGUUUAGGAUUUGACUGAGAAGCAUUAGACUGUCUAACAUUCAGUAUAUUUCGCCCAGUCUCACUCACUCUUACCCUUUCCUAGCUCUAAAAAUUAGUAGAGAUUAUUGGACAAAUAACAGGAGAGGAUUCGAAUACUUAAUUCAUCUAGAAAAUAGAAAUUGUAAAGUCAAUAAAUUUUUAAAAUUAUGCCAUGCAGAAAGCAUCUCUUGCUAUAAACUACCGUUAUAAAUGACAUGAUCAUGUCUAUUAUAUUUCACAAAGCAAAGCCGUUGGCGAAAUUUUCACUAUUUGUGUAUAUUUUAAAGGUGAAUAGAUUAAUUUCCCUUUGAGAAACCCUUCUCCAGUUCUGUUCUCAGGCCUGCCACUUUGGAAGGAUUUUGCGAUCCUCAUUAAGCUUUGUAUGUUACUGAAGGUUAGGGUUGGAGUUGAAAUGGCAUUGAUUGAUGCAGUUGCUAAUAGUAUUGGUGUGCCCCUGUGGAGAUUAUUUGGUGGUGUAUCAAAUACCUUAACCACUGCUAUCACAGUUAAGUUCCUGAGUGCUACCAUGCUUUUUUUAGUACUUCUUUAUGGUUAUGCAACGAGUUUUUGACUUGUGUAGGUGAAUUUCAAUCGAGCAGCUUUCAAAUGUUUUCCCCGCAGAAGCUUCUGAAUUGGCUUCAAAGUACUGCCAACUAGGAUUCAAGACCUUGAAGCUUAAAAUAGGGAAGAACAUUAAAGCAGAAAUCGAAAUUCUCCAAUCCAUACAGGCAGCUCACCCCAAUUGUUCAUUGAUUUUAGAUGCAAAUGAGGAAUACACUUACAGAGAAGCUGUAGAAGUUCUUCAAAAGUUACAUGAUUCAGGGAUAACACCUACUCUCUUGGAACAACCGGUUCAUAGAGAUGACUGGAAAGGUCUUGGAGAAUUUUGUAACUUUGCAAGAGGGAAGUAUGGGAUAUCCGUUGCUGUAGAUGAGAGUUGUCAGAGCUUAAUUGAUGUUCAAACAGUUAUUAAGGGCAAUUUUGCAGAUGUCAUUAACAUCAAACUUGCCAAAGUAGGAGUACUUGGGGCACUUGAAAUUAUUGAGGUAGCUAGGGCAUCAUGAUUGGAUUUAAUGAUUGGUGGUGUGGUUGAGACUAGGCUGGCCAUGGGCUUUGCAGGUCACCUUGCUGCUGGCCUUGGAUGUUUUAAGUUUGUUGACCUGGAUACACCCCUUUUGUUAUCAGAAGAUCCCGUUCUUGGGGGUUAUGAAGGUAUUAAGCCCAACUCUUAAACCAUAUAAUGUGCAAUGUUUCAGUUUCUAUGGCUAAAGCAGCUUCGUAUUGUUGAGUUAUGGGCUCAUAUUUGUUAGACAAAACACUGUUCACUAAAAUACUGUUCCAGAAGUUGGGGAGGGAGCCCCUUUAGUGGGUUAUUUUGUAAUUAAAAGUUCUCCUAAUCCUACUUAUAUAAAGAAUAACUCUAGAAUCUCUAUAAUAGGAUUGUCUUGUUAUCCUCUUAGUAGUAACACAACUACCAAUAGACAUAAACACGCUUGUUGAACAGCAUUAAUCCAUGCUUCUGUUUUUUCCCUUGCUUUUCUGAUCUGUACAUGCGCUGGUAUCCCUAUAGUUGAUGGCUUUAAACUUGAAAUAGACAUGGUUCUUACUUUUUUCCCUUUCACUAGUACUGGGUGCUGUAUACAAAUUUACAAAUACUAGAGGCCAUGCUGGUUUCCUUCACUGGGACAAUAUUGUAUGAGAUCAAUAGUCAAUUGCUGAAGGGCCCUACAGCUUCUCACAGAUGGCGUUCGUAAACAAUAAUUGCUGUUGGUAAGACUGGUUGGCCCUCAAUCUUUUGAAGUCUUGCUAACGAAUGAAGAAAUGAACAGAAGGGGUCUACAAGCACAAGGAUUGCUUGUGAUCAGUUUUAGUUUAGGGACAUUUCUCUGCACCUAUGGAUGCAGCCAUUGCCUGGCCGUUUAAACCAUGUGAUUCCAAAUGCUAGAAUCAAAACAGGUCUUAAACACUAAUUUAGAUGCUGUUGAAAUAAGUAAUUUGGAAAAAGUUAUUUUAUUAUUUAGUGUUUUUUGUGAUUAAAACUUAUUAAAUUUUAAAUAAUUUUUAAUAUUAUCUAAUUAAUA
rnacentral:misc_RNA from 1 species